AACGUAGGAGACAAACGUUAUCCGGAGUUACUGGGCGUAAAGGGCGUGUAGGUGGUAUCGUAAGUCUGGCGUGAAAUUUCUCGGCUUAACCGAGGCAGGUCGUCGGAUACUGCGAGGCUAGAGGACGGUAGAGGCGUGUGGAAUUCCGGGUGUAGUGGUGAAAUGCGCAGAGUAUCGGGAGGAACACCAGUGGCGAAGGCGACUACCUGGCCUGUUCUUGACGCUGAGGCGCGAAAGCUAGGGAGCAAACGGGG
rnacentral:rRNA from 1 species